GGUAAUUGUUGCUUCCUGAUACAGGAUCUGAGGGGUGGAAGCUGCACCUUCCCCACGUUCCCAGCAGGCAGCUGCUGGCUCUGGCACCUCAGCUCAGGUGUCCCAGCGCCUCCUGUUCCUCUGCUCUGCGACACCCCCAGCACAGCUCUCCUGGGGGAGCACUGGCAACCUGCAGGCACCAAAAAGCCCUUGCACACCUCCUAAGAAAUACCCAACUUAGAUGCAAAACUGGUGCUUGCAGCCUUUCCCCUCACACAUCCCUGCUGGAUUUUCCCAAAUGCUUGGGAAGACCCGGUCAGAAGUAACUCACAGCCAGCUGAAGGCACACUGUUUGCUGAGCCAUCUUUCUUUUCUGUCAGUCCAGAUCCACGAGGCUCUAAAUCUGUGGGGCACUGAAAUAAAUCCCGAAGGAAUUAACAUGCCAGUCGGAAAGGGAGUGACCCCAGGUUCCGUGCCGGGGCAGCGUGGAGCAGCAGGAGGGAGCAGCCGUGCCGGGGGGCACACGCAGCGCAUCCGUGGCACCGUGGGACCAGCGCUCGCCUACCGGCAUCGCCGACCACGAGGAUCAGCUCUUCCGCUCCGUGGAGGGCCAGGCUGCCUCUGA
rnacentral:lncRNA from 1 species